ACCAAGAGAGUUGGAAUCGUUGAUAAAUACGGAACCCGCUAGAGUGCCUCCCUCUGGAAAACGGUGAAGAAAAUCAAAAUCAGCCAGCACGUCAAGUAUACUUGCUCUUUCCAUGAUAAAAUUGAGGUGAAGAGAUGAGCUGUGGGGAUCUGCACUGUGGUUGCUGCAUGAAGACAGUAGCUGGCAGUGCCUGGACCUCUAACACCACUUCUGCUCUCACAAGAAAGUCCACCAUCAGACAACUAAAGGAUUAA
rnacentral:lncRNA from 1 species